UUGUGCUCACCAUACAAAUAGAUAAACGAUAAGACUGGAUUCAGGAAGCUUCUUCAGAUGACAGCAGAGGAGUUUGACAUCCUGCUGGGGAUGGUUGGACCUGUCAUAACCAAGCAGCACACACAGAUGAGACGGGCAAUAUCCCCAAAUUAGUGCCUAGCUGUGACCAUACAGUUUUUGGCAACAGGCGAAACGUUCAGUUUCCUCAGUUUCCAAUACAGGGUUGGGGUAAGCACUAUUUCUAACAUCGUUAUGGAGACCUGUGCUGCUCUCUACCGAGUCAUGAAAAAAGACUUCCUCAAGACACCCACAACAGAGGCAGAAUGGCAGAAAAUAGCACAUGACUUUCAAUCUAAAUGGCAAUUCCCACAUUGCUUAGGUGCGCUUGAUGGUAAACACAUCUGUAUACAGCCUCCAGCAAAAAGUGGUAGUCUUUACCAUAAUUACAAGUCCAGCUUCUCUAUAAUAAUGAUGGCUGCUGUGGAUGCCAAUUACAAGUUCAGCCUUUGCUGACUGGGAGAACAAUGACCACAGCAUAGUUGAGGGAUCCUGGAGGAAUCAAGGGAUCGGGUCUUUCCAAACAGUGGAUCAUCGAAGGGAACGCAAUGCAUCUGUUGUGGCAAAAAUGCAACGAAACCUUCUGCGUGAGUACUUCAUCUCACGUGCCGGAUGUGUUCCUUGGCAGGAGAAACACAUUUAGUGUUGUAAGGAUGUCAGAGUGUAACUUUUUGUAGUGGAGAAAACACUGUGUUUUUUAUUAUGAUAUCUCAUACUGUAGCACAUUGUCAUUUUUUUAUUUUGAAGAAGAAGAAAAGUGCCUUUCUUAAAAAGCAUGGUGCUUCUGUUAUUGAUGUUAGCCUUUUAGGCACAGAAUGCUAUUUAUAUACUGUAUCUUCAGACCAUACAACUUGGGUGUACUUUAAAAUCAUUG